rfam:Blumeria graminis f. sp. hordei DH14, WGS project CATH01000000 data, contig: 005390
GCCCGGGUAGCUCAAUCGGUAGAGCGUGUGGCUCUUAAAGACAAGAUGUCUGGCAACCUCAAGGUCGCGGGUUCGAGCCCCGCCUCGGGCU